rnacentral:lncRNA from 1 species
CUUUGGCAGGCUCAGCCCAGCUGCUCCCUGCCUGUGGCCAGGAACAGGGUGCAACAUCUGGACCUUGGGAGAAGCUUCUGGAACAUGGAAAAGGCUUAAUCUGGAACCAGCAGCUGCUGGGGGUCUCAGGGCCCUUAGAAAAACAGAGCAGACUUGGCCUGUGGUGGGAAAAAACAGGAAUGGGCACGAGGGGAUGCAAAAUUAAACUCGGUUGUUGCGUAUUGACCUCCACUUGAAGAAUGCCAGAUCCAAUUAACAACGGUUAAUGAGGCUCAGGGAAGGCAGGAGUGACCUUCCCAAGGACCAGGUGAACUCUCAGAGAUGUGAAUUUGCACAGAGCACAAUAAAUGCAGGAAUACCAAGGCAUGGAGCGAGGAAUUCAGCAAACCCUCUCGGAAAAACCUCUGCUGAAAUCUGCUCCAGAGCAAAGCUGCUCGGGAGACCUUGGAAAUUCAUUUGUGAAGAUCAGGUGAGCCCUGAGUGUGUUCCAAGGGUUUAAAAUGACUCUCAUUAACUCCUUAAAUGAGGAAGAGUUCCUGCAGUUUCAAUAACGUGCCCAGAGGAGCAGUAAGAAGUGAGAUUUAAGGAAACUUGAAUCAAAUCUGACUUUCAUUUCAACUUGCAGAUGAUCAGGGAGGCAGCAGUGCUCUGUGCUUCAGGAUGAGGAGGGCGGACUUUGCAAGGACCUGAAAUGAGGGAUGAGGGACGAGGUUUGGGCUGCUGAACUCCAGCCAUGAUCAGAACCAUGGGCUCCUUCAGCCUGGAAAAGCCCUCUGGGAUCAUCUCAGCCCAGCAGCACCAGCAGGGAUCGCAGCCGCUCCACGGGCGGGGAGGGCUCGGAGCCAGCGCUGCAGGAACCGGGGGAUGCUCAGCUGGGAGAUCCCAGGGAAAGGCUUUCCCAGGAUUUGGGAUGUUGGAGCAAACAGCUCUGGGCUCCUGGCUGGGCCUGGCUGAUGAGCCCCAGCACGGAAUGAGCGAGAGGGGAAGAACAAAAGGCUCCUUUGAUGUGCUCACCCGCACCAUGUUCAGCACAAAAUGCAAAUGUUCCCUCACGCUGGAGAACACUUAUCAAUAUUAAGGCAUACACGGAGCAGAAGAAAGGAGGAAGAACAAAAUACAACACUUAACAAGAGGGUAAUUUAGCCUGUUGGCAAGUGCUUCAAGCCGAGUUCAUGAAAAAUUACUCAGACAAUUGUUUUGUGGGGGUUCUGGGCCGUUCUGCAUAAAUCAUGAUAUGGAUUCCAUGGGAGGCCAGAGCUUGAUCAGGUGUGAGAGGG